UUUCUCUUUGCUUUAUUUUGAAUUGAUUGUAUGAAUUUGUGUAUGGUGACUCUUAGCAGUAGCCUUAAUUGUUAGCAAUCUCAUUGUUUUGCAUUAGCUCAUUUGUUUUGGAUUAAAUUGUCAUAGUUAACUUACUUUGCAUUUGUUUGAAGUUAGACUAAUCAUCCUUCAAACUAGAAGGGACAAGGUUGUUUUGGUUUGCUAAUAUGACUAUUUAACACUAGUUUAUAAUUAAUUUGUUUCUAUAUUGGAGAUGUAAAAAUCUUGUUUGGAAACUUUCUUUAAAAGCAAUCAAACUUGAAGAAAAGUUCCCAACACUUCUUUUUAUUUUUUUCCAUUGCCUCUAAUAUAUGUUGAAAGAAUGAUAUCAAGUCAGUGUUCAUAGGCUUUCACUGGUUGGCCUCUAUUUUCCUAUGAGGAUAUAUGUUCUAUUUCUCUUUUGUGUGUGCUAAAAAUUGCUUUAGUCAUGUCUUGUUGUGUCUCCUACUAAAGAUGUUAUUCUUGUGAAAUAGUUUAAGUGUGAAUGAUAAUCUUAUUAC
rnacentral:lncRNA from 1 species